rnacentral:rRNA from 1 species
GAUGAACGCUAGCGGCAGGCCUAACACAUGCAAGUCGAGGGGUAGAACACUUCGGUGUUUGAGACCGGCGCACGGGUGCGUAACGCGUAUGCAAUCUACCUUGUACAGGGGAAUAGCCCAGAGAAAUUUGGAUUAAUGCCCCAUAGUAUAUAACCUUCGCAUGUUGGUUUUAUUAAAGUUCCAACGGUACAAGAUGAGCAUGCGUCCCAUUAGUUAGUGGGUAAGGUAACGGCUUACCAAGACGAUGAUGGUUAGGGGUCCUGAGAGGGAGAUCCCCCACACGGGUACUGAGAAACGGACCAGACUCCUACGGGAGGCAGCAGUGAGGAAUAUUGGUCAAUGGGCGCAAGCCUGAACCAGCCAUGCCGCGUGCAGGAAGACGGUCCUAUGGAUUGUAAACUGCUUUUAUACAGGAAGAAACAACUCUACGUGUAGAGUCUUGACGGUACUGUAGGAAUAAGGAUCGGCUAACUCCGUGCCAGCCGCCGCAGUAAUAC